GACGAACGCUGGCGGCGUGCUUAACACAUGCAAGUCGAACGAUGAAGCCGGAGCUUGCUCUGGUGAAUUAGUGGCGAACGGGUGAGUAACACGUGAGUAACCUGCCCUUGACUCUGGGAUAACUGCGGGAAACUGUAGCUAAUACCGGAUACGACCCUCGGAGGCAUCUCCUGGGGGUGGAAAGAAUUUCGGUCAAGGAUGGACUCGCGGCCUAUCAGCUAGUUGGUGAGGUAAAGGCUCACCAAGGCGACGACGGGUAGCCGGCCUGAGAGGGGGACCGGCCACCCUGGGACUGAGACACGGCCCAGACUCCUACGGGAGGCAGCAGUGGGGAAUAUUGCACAAUGGGCGCAAGCCUGAUGCAGCAACGCCGCGUGAGGGAUGACGGCCUUCGGGUUGUAAACCUCUUUCAGUAGGGAAGAAGCGAAAGUGACGGUACCUGCAGAAAAAGCACCGACUAACUACGUGCCAGCCGCCGCCGUAA
rnacentral:rRNA from 1 species